AACGAACGCUGGCGGCAUGCCUAACACAUGCAAGUCGAACGAGACCUUCGGGUCUAGUGGCGCACGGGUGCGUAACGCGUGGGAACCUGCCCUUAGGUUCGGAAUAACUCCCCGAAAGGGGUGCUAAUACCGGAUAAUGUCUUCGGACCAAAGAUUUAUCGCCUUUGGAUGGGCCCGCGUUGGAUUAGCUAGUUGGUAGGGUAAAAGCCUACCAAGGCGACGAUCCAUAGCUGGUCUGAGAGGAGGAUCAGCCACACUGGGACUGAGACACGGCCCAGACUCCUACGGGAGGCAGCAGUGGGGAAUAUUGGACAAGGGGCGAAAGCCUGAUCCAGCAAUGCCGCGUGAGUGAUGAAGGCCUUAGGGUUGUAAAGCUCUUUGACCCGGGAUGAUAAUGACAGUACCGGGAGAAUAAGCGCCGGCUAACUCCGUG
rnacentral:rRNA from 1 species